rnacentral:tRNA from 1 species
AACUGAGAAAAGGAAUUGAACCUUCCAUAGUAAAUCCUAAAUCUAUUGCAGUAACCACUUUGCUAUCCCAG